GAGUUUGAUCGUGGCUCAGAUUGAACGCUGGCGGCAGGCCUAACACAUGCAAGUCGAGCGGAUGAAGGGAGCUUGCUCCUGGAUUCAGCGGCGGACGGGUGAGUAAUGCCUAGGAAUCUGCCUGGUAGUGGGGGAUAACGUCCGGAAACGGGCGCUAAUACCGCAUACGUCCUGAGGGAGAAAGUGGGGGAUCUUCGGACCUCACGCUAUCAGACGAGCCUAGGUCGGAUUAGCUAGUUGGUGGGGUAAAGGCCUACCAAGGCGACGAUCCGUAACUGGUCUGAGAGGAUGAUCAGUCACACUGGAACUGAGACACGGUCCAGACUCCUACGGGAGGCAGCAGUGGGGAAUAUUGGACAAUGGGCGAAAGCCUGAUCCAGCCAUGCCGCGUGUGUGAAGAAGGUCUUCGGAUUGUAAAGCACUUUAAGUUGGGAGGAAGGGCAGUAAGUUAAUACCUUGCUGUUUUGACGUUACCAACAGAAUAAGCACCGGCUAACUUCGUGCCAGCAGCAGCCGA
rnacentral:rRNA from 1 species